GACGAACGCUGGCGGCGUGCUUAACACAUGCAAGUCGAACGGAAAGGCCCUGCUUUUGUGGGGUGCUCGAGUGGCGAACGGGUGAGUAACACGUGAGUAACCUGCCCUUGACUUUGGGAUAACUUCAGGAAACUGGGGCUAAUACCGGAUAGGAGCUCCUGCUGCAUGGUGGGGGUUGGAAAGUUUCGGCGGUUGGGGAUGGACUCGCGGCUUAUCAGCUUGUUGGUGGGGUAGUGGCUUACCAAGGCUUUGACGGGUAGCCGGCCUGAGAGGGUGACCGGCCAGAUUGGGACUGAGAUGCGGCCAAGACUCCUCCGGGAGGCAGCAGUGGGGAAUAUUGCAAAAUGGGCGGAAGCCUGAGGCAGCAACGCCGCGGGCGGGAGGACGGCCUUCGGGUUGUAAACCGCUUUCGCCUGUGACGAAGCGUGAGUGACGGUAAUGGGUAAAGAAACACCGGCUAACUACGUG
rnacentral:rRNA from 1 species